rnacentral:rRNA from 1 species
GACGAACGCUGGCGGCGUGCUUAACACAUGCAAGUCGAACGGCAAGGCCCUGCUUUUGUGCUGUUCUCGAGUGGCGAACGGGUGAGUAACACGUGAGUAACCUGCCCUUGACUUUGGGAUAACUUCACGAAACUGGGGCUACUAUCGUAUAGCAUCUCCUGUUCCAUUGUGGGGGUUGGAAAGUUUCUGCGGUUGGGGUUGGACUGGCGGCUUACCACCUUGCUGGUGGGGUAGUGGCUUACCAAGGCUGUGACGGAUAGCCGGCCUGGGAAGGUGACCGGCGACAAGAGGACUGAGAUAGGGAGCAGACGGCAACGGGAGGCAAUAGUGGGAAAUAUUGCACAGUGAGCGGGAGCGUGAGACAAAGACGCCGGGGUCGUGAAGACGGCCUUUGGGUUGUGAACAGCUUUCGCCUGAGACGAAGCGGGAGUGACGGUAAUGAGUAAAGAAGCACCGGCUAACUACGUG